AGAGUUUGAUCAUGGCUCAGAUUGAACGCUGGCGGCAUGCUUUACACAUGCAAGUCGAGCGGCAGCGCGGGGGCAACCCUGGCGGCGAGCGGCGGACGGGUGAGUAAUGCAUCGGAACGUAUCCCGUAGUGGGGGACAACCCAGCGAAAGCUGGGCUAAUACCGCAUAUGCUCUACGGAGGAAAGCAGGGGACUCGCAAGAGCCUUGUGCUAUGGGAGCGGCCGAUGUCCGAUUAGCUAGUUGGUGGGGUAAAGGCUUACCAAGGCGACGAUCGGUAGCUGGUCUGAGAGGAUGAUCAGCCACACUGGGACUGAGACACGGCCCAGACUCCUACGGGAGGCAGCAGUGGGGAAUUUUGGACAAUGGGGGCAACCCUGAUCCAGCCAUGCCGCGUGCGGGAAGAAGGCCUUCGGGUUGUAAACCGCUUUUGGUCGGGAAGAAAAGGUUCUCCCUAAUACGGAGGACUGUUGACGGUACCGGCAGAAUAAGCACCGGCUAACUACGUG
rnacentral:rRNA from 1 species